GAUGAACGCUGGCGGCGUGCUUAACACAUGCAGUCGAACGGUGAACGAGGGAGCUUGCUCCCUCCGGAUCAGUGGCGAACGGGUGAGUAACACGUGAGCAAUCUGCCCUGGACUCUGGGAUAAGCGUUGGAAACGACGUCUAAUACCGGAUACGAGGCGUGGGGGCAUCCCCAAGGCCUGGAAAGAACUUCGGUCCAGGAUGAGCUCGCGGCCUAUCAGGUAGUUGGUGAGGUAACGGCUCACCAAGCCGACGACGGGUAGCCGGCCUGAGAGGGUGACCGGCCACACUGGGACUGAGACACGGCCCAGACUCCUACGGGAGGCAGCAGUGGGGAAUAUUGCACAAUGGGCGCAAGCCUGAUGCAGCAACGCCGCGUGAGGGACGACGGCCUUCGGGUUGUAAACCUCUUUUAGCAGGGAAGAAGCGAAAGUGACGGUACCUGCAGAAAAAGCACCGGCUAACUACGUGCCAGCAGCCGCAGUAACAC
rnacentral:rRNA from 1 species